GGAUAGAGGCCUACCAUGGUGGUAACGGGUAACGGGGUGUUAGGGCACGACACCGGAGAGGGAGCCUGAGAAACGGCUACCACAUCCAAGGAUGGCAGCAGGCGCGCAAAUUACCCAAUCCCGACACGGGGAGGUAGUGACAAUAAAUAACAAUACGGGGUUCUUUAGGAUCUCGUAAUUGGAAUGAGUACAAUUUAAAUCUCUUAACGAGGAACAAUUGGAGGGCAAGUCUGGUGCCAGCAGCCGCGGUAAUUCCAGCUCCAAUAGCGUAUAUUAAAGUUGUUGCAGUUAAAAAGCUCGUAGUUGAAUUUCGGGGUUAGUAGGUUGGUCAUGCCUCUGGUAUGUACUGGUCUCACUGAUUCCUCCUUCCUGAUGAACCUUAAUGCCAUUAAUUUGGUGUUUUGGGGAAUUUGGACUGUUACUUUGAAAAAAUUAGAGUGUUUAAAGCAAGCUAACGCUUGAAUACAUUAGCAUGGAAUAAUGAAAUAGGACGUUCGAUCCUAUUUUGUUGGUUUCUAGGAUUGACGUAAUGAUUAAUGGGGAUAGUUGGGGGCAUUAGUAUUCAAUUGUCAGAGGUGAAAUUCUUGGAUUUAUUGAAGACUAACUACUGCGAAAGCAUUUGCCAAGGAUGUUUUCAUUAAUCAAGAACGAAAGUUAGGGGGUCGAAGACGAUCGGAUACCGUCGUAGUCUUAACCAUAAACUAUGCCGACUAGGGAUCGGAUGAUGUUAAUUUUUUAAUGACUCAUUCGGCGCCUUACGGGAACCAAAGUGGGUUUG
rnacentral:rRNA from 1 species